AGAGAGAGACAUGCGCGCAUAUCAAUAAGCGGAGGAAAAGAAACUAACAAGGAUUCCCUUAGUAACGGCGAGUGAAGCGGGAAGAGCUCAAAUUUGAAAUCUUCAAGGUUUUACCUUGACGAAUUGUAGUUUAAAGAAGUGUUUUCUGCUGGAGUUUUGGUAAAAGUUCUUUGGAAUAGGACAUCAUAGAGGGUGAGAAUCCCGUAUUUGACCAUUAUUUUCAGCUUUGUGAUACACUUUCAAAGAGUCGGAUUGUUUGGGAAUGCAGUCCAAAAUGGGUGGUAAAUUUCAUCUAAAGCUAAAUAUUGGCGAGAGACCGAUAGCGAACAAGUACCGUGAGGGAAAGAUGAAAAGAACUUUGAAAAGAGAGUUAAACAGUACGUGAAAUUGUCAAAAGGGAAGCGUUUGACACCAGUGUUGUUUUCUCGAAAAUCAAUUAAAAUGGCUCGAUUUUGUAUUGUUGAGACCUUAAAAGCUCACUGUACAUUUUUCGUGUCUUUUUUAAUGCACUUUUCGCUUGACAAGUCAACAUCAGUUUCUUUUGUUGUAAAAGGGUCAUUGGAAGGUGGCUUUCUUUUCGGAGAAAGUGUUUAUAGCCUUUGGCCUCUGCAAUCGGAGAGACUGAGGUCUGCAGCGUAGACUCUUCGGGGUUAGAUACAUUUGUGCUAAGUUAUAGCUUUUUAUAGACAACUUGUUGACUAUAAUUAGUCUUGUAGCUUACUCGCUUAUGCCUAUUUUACCUACGCUUAGGAUGUUGAGUCGUAGAGCACGCAG
rnacentral:rRNA from 1 species